UGCUGUGGGCGGGGCAUUUUAAUUAGGGUGGUACCACUCUAAUUAAAACACCUCUCUGUGACAGGAAUUAAGCCUCCCACCUUUCAAAAUGGCUGCAGGGCACUUUAACUACAGCUCAUUCACCAGGUUUAACUAAAGCAGGCUUGCAGCCAUUUUGAAAGAUGGGGGGGGUUAACACGCGUGAUGGUGAGGGGGCUCGUUCCUGUUCCAGUUAGAUGAAUGGAGUCUGCUCUGACUCCUAACAAACCGGCACAUGUAGGGGCAGCCACAGGCCCAUACGGCUGCCUAUAGAUUCACAGAUUGUAAGGCUGUAAGGGACCUUGGAAGAUCAUCGUGCCCGCAGACAUGCCGGUUUGUAUUCCAGUUAGGUGUCAGAGCAGACUCCAUUCAUCUAACUGGAACAGGAAUGAGCCCCCUCACCAUCACGCGUGUUAACCCCCCCACCUUUCAAAAUGGCUGCGGGGGCACUUUAACUAAAGCAUAUUCACCAGGUUUAGCUAAAGCACCCUCCCAGCCAUUUUGAAAGGUGCGGGGCUUAAUCUGUCACAGUAAUCUGUUUUAUUUAGAGUGGUAUCACCCUAAUUAAAAUGCCCCAUCUGCAGCACAUGUAUAGCCAGCCGUCAUGUGGGGUCUUCAUCACCAAAGUUAACUACAGAAGAAUAACGAGCAAAACAAGUCAAAAGUAAGAGCUGGCAUUUGCCCAGGGCUGCCUCCAGCCUCAAUAGAUUGAGAACCACCGCCUUGUAUUGUAAGGACAGAGUCGGUUAAAUGCAUAGACCACUUGAGUGCAUAGCAGCUUUCAUCCCCACUGUCAGCUUUAUAGGGUAGUUGUACUCCCCUUAACUACAUGCUAGCUGUGACUGUGAUUGUCUAGUUUCUAACUGUGUAAGUCUGCCAGAAAGUAAAGAGAGAGCAGCUGUCAUGGGACUGCUAUUAGAAGCCUUUGGAACUGACCAAUUCCAUCAUUUUCAAGACUGCCCUCUCCCUUCAGUUUUUAAGACUCCUCACAAACAGCCCUGAAACUAACUCCGUUCACUUUCAAACUUUGGAUGAUCAGUUUCCAUACUGCUAGAAGCAGCAUUGAAAAUGAUGGGAGCUAGGCAGUUGCAGGGCUGCUAAUACUCUAAGUACACAGAAUGUCAGUGCUAAUACGCAUUGCUUGUAUUAACUUAAUGAUAAGUGCAUACUGUACUGUGGAUAAGUGAAUGGUGUUUUCUUAGCCCAGUAGCUUAGAGAGAGUACAUAAAGAGUAGGUGGUUCAUUUCCAGGAUAUUUUACAGUAGAUAGUUUACUAGGUUUCACAACCUACAGCAUCUGCAAAGCAGACUGGAAAAAGAAGUGCUAUGUUGGGGAAAAUGAAGACUGGGAAAUACCAGAGGAGGUUGGGUGAUGAUGAUUUUAGGGGAAAACAAAGAGGUACUAAAAGGAAUUUGAAGUGCAGCUGAGGAAAGAUAAAAACCAUGAAAAAGGAGUUGGUGUGGGAGAAGCAAAAUAAAGCGAGUAUAAUCAGGCUUAUUGAGGGAUUGGAGGAGGAGUAUAUUCUUUCCUGUGGAGAAUCAAACUUUUGCAGGUGUUAUAACUAUUGAGAUCUCAGGCAUAGGAUAUAGGUGAUAUGGUGGUGUGUUUUGUAAAAACUCAGGUGCCCCAGCCUGAGUUACAAGGAUCCUCAGACAGGUUUUCACAAAAAUAAGAUUUCUAGCCUUGACUCAGUUUUAGCACAUUUAUUAUCUUUAGGUAUGUGGAAGUAGACUAAACUACUUUUUGAAAGGAAGGCUUGAGAUAAAGAUAGGAGAAGCCCAAGACGGGCAACAUUCCCAGGAAGUUUAACUGUGUAAGGACUGUGAGACAGUGCCCUUAAGAAUUACAUUUUUUUCCUUGCUUUGGGUAGGAAAGGAGCCCAAUCUGCAUAGGGAUUAACCUAAAUUAAAAAUCAGGUAUUCUCUUACAGUCAAGAAAAAAUGAGCUAAUUUGUUUUCAGAUGGUUUCGCAUUGUCAUGUGCCUCUAUACAAAUACCAUCAAUAAGUUGAAGGGCCAAAAUAUCACAAGAUGGGCAGUUUGCAAGGUGGGAGAGGAGGGUUGUUUUGUUUUGACUAAGUGGAAGCAAGAAAUAUUGAAAAUCUUAAGUAAAUAAUAAUAAACAUUUACAUAUUAUAACAUUUGCAAAAUUUAGCCCUCAUCUUAUAAACGUUGUUCCUGUCAGUAGAUAUGCUGAGUUACAAAAUGCAGGAAGCAUCAGUCCUGUUAUAUUGUUUAUUCUCAGCACACCUUCACUCUUAUUUUAUGGGUAGAACACAAAUUGAGGCAGCGAAAUGAAGGCCAAAAUGGUAAAGUGUUUCUACUAAUUUGCAAGUGACCAAUUUGAGACACCCAAGGCCUCAUUUUCAGAGAAAAGGGACUAAGUAUCUACAGGUCUCAUUGAAGUUAAACUUCAGGCUCCCACCCAGAAACAUUUUGGCCAUAGUCUUCUGCUAACGUCCUGCAGCUAUAAUACCAUUUUCUAAUUGGCUAGUAAUCUAUGGACAGAUAUUGUAACUGUUCCUUGAGAAUAUUUUUCUACUUUUCUCACUCAUUUGCAUACGAAUGGCAUAAAAAUAGGCACUUCCUGCCAGUAAUUAGUUGGAGCCCAGAAUUUAAAGAAAGAAAAAUACCACAGUAUUAUGGUAGAGGGAUGGUACUGAGGAAGCUGCAGAAAAGAAUCACUUUCUUGCACUCAGAGUGCUUUUAAUUUAGAGUUCAAGGUUGGCAACUAUGUUACCUCUAUGUGACAGGGAUUAACUAUUUGCUUGGCCUAAUAAGUAUGCCCCUAAUGAGUACUUUAGUGCUUUCCCCACCCACCCCCACUGUAAAUCACUCCAUCUGCCUACUGUAAAAAAUCCACCCUCUGCUUUUUGUUUUCCCAGAAAAAGCAACAUUAAUAGUAAAAGCAACAUUAAUAGUAAAAGCUGCAUCAUCAGUGUUGUUUCUCAUCAAGGCACAGCAAAACAGACCAAGGUAGGGAGUACUCAAAUAUUUUUAGUCUAAUCAAACAGCUUGUAGCCCUAUGAAGUCAUCCACAGCAAUCGGUUCUUCUUACUUAAAUAGUGGGGGCUGGAUGGGUUCAGGGAUUUAUAAUGGGUUAUGAACCUUUUCAUAUAUAUGCCAGACUUGAGCCCAACUAAGGCCAGUAGCAUCCCAAAGUAGUCCCCCCUUACGGUAGCAAUUUGUUAGAUUUUGUGAAGUAGAUCAGUCAUAUUCCUUACAGACAGUUGUUCACAUCAUAAAAAUCAUCUCUCUCUCUUUAGGAGAUUAUAAUUGGAUAUGUCAACUUAAACAUAAAUUCACAAGGUCCAUCAGUCGGGCACAUCUUGCAAGCGACAUGUUCACUAAAGACUUUGAUGCAGAAACUUGUUACUUGCAGCAAUUCUGUGUUGUGUACCAUUAAAGUUAUCUGUCCCAGAUUGACUGAACAGAAGUACCUGAUUGCUGGUAGUGUGACUGGGAAGCGAAAGGAAGAUAAAGUUAAUGCCUUUAGCAUAUUCAACUAUUAAUCUAUCGGUAAUUUAAUUAUUGAUCCAGCCUACUUAAAUAUUCUUUCACUAUUUACUUUUUCAAUGCUGCCUCUUUCUAUCUUUUCCCAUAGUCUUACCACAGUUCUGUCUUUCAUGGUACAAGAGCCUUGUUCUGCGCAGAGCAUUGUAACUGGAGCCUUCUGUAUGUUUACAUACAACAAUAUUAUACUUAAUUUAAAAUCCCAGUUGAUACUUGAUUUCUAUUUCCCCCCUCAAAGACCUCAUCUCCAUCUCUCCCCAACCCAUAUAUGUUUUGUAACUCUGUAAAGCGUGUGUGAAACAUGCUACGUACAAUAUCAUGCUGAAUGAACGUAAGUAACACCAGAAUGAGACACAGGCUUAUCUUUAAAAACAAAGCUUGAAAGCUUUUAUCAAAUAAAUAAAUAAAUCAGAAUUGCUAUAUUGUAACAGUAUUUUCAUGAAAAGUUUGAAGCUCUCGUUUAUUAACACAGAGCCUUAUGAUGAUUGGGUCUAUUCCAUUAGUCGAUUUUAUAAAGUGUGCAGACUGGGUAAACAACAGUGACAGCUUGGGGAAGUGUAUGCACCUGUUUAUUAAAAAGACGUUAACAAGGGCAAAACUAAAAUAAGAACACAUACCACAACCCAAUUUUCAGCAAUUUUUUAUGCAUGCCUACACUUAAGGGUACCAUGUUAUUGGCAAUUUUUCUUUCUCCCUCCCCUCCCUCCCUCUGAGGAACACAGCAGCUGAUGAGCAUGGAGCAUCUGUGGCAAAGGCAAAAAACACAAUAAAACUUUGGAGGAGCAAACACAACCCUCUGUUUCAACUGCCCCCACUCUCCUACUUUCUGAUAGUGUAGCUAAAAGAGAAUGAGACGGGUAUCUUAUCUUUCCAGAGGAGGAUUGAAAUUCUUAAUGUUCUCGUAUUAAGUCUCAUUGUGUUCAGUAUUUUAUAGUACAGUGAGUUUUGAGCAUUUUAAUUAAUUUACAUAAUUUAUGGCAGGCCACAUUUGUAAAAUUACAUUACAAGAGUGCAUAUUAUUUUCUUGUUUUGUGUGUGCGUGUAGGUUCAAUUUCUGAAAGCUAUCUGACAGUAUAAUCCUGCUGGAUUUUUGCACGCAUAAAGGUAUGGGCAAAUGCACAUUAUGGUUUUCAAGUGCAUUUCAGAGUCGGCAAAACUCACCAGUCAGGAACUUAUAACAUGCCACACACUUCUUAAAACCUGACCCUAAAACUAUUUAUUAAUAAUGAUGCAUUUUUAUAGCAGCUUUCAUUCAGGGAUACCAAAACACUUUACUGUGUACUACUGCAAACUUUAAACAACAUUAAUAAUGUUACUCACUGAAGGAGCUGAUGGUGGGUCUGCCCUUAAACUAAUGUGGAAACAAAAUGAUUUCACUGGGGUUUUGUGGGCAUGAUAUGGGCCUCCUCCAAGACUGGACCAUAAUCCUCACAGAUCACUGUCUCCUUAUUUUUAAUUUAUUUUUAAACAGGUGAAAACAGGAUGUUGAGUGAAGAAUCCAAACUUAGAUUUCAGUCUUGCAAUACAUAUUUUGAAAGCUCACUGUAGUCUCUACAUUCAUUUCAGUAGGUUGUUCAAUUGCUGUCAACUUUAGGAUCAGAACGCUGGACCUUCUGACUAGACUUUUAACACUACACUGUAUUAAGUCUGAUAGCAAACCUUACAGAUAACUUACCUGUUAGGUAAAUCAAUGUUAACUGAAGCAAGGUGCAGUUAAAUCAUUUGCUAAUGGUAUCAUUUGCUAAUGGUGACACUACAAGAUUUGAGGCAUAAAACAUGAAGGAAUAUUUUACUUCAAAACACAUUUUACUAGAGUUGUAUAAAGAAAAAUAUGAUUAGUUUGAGAAUAGUUAAACAUCUUUAUCUGCUGUCCUUCCUCUUCACAUUCCAGAUAGAAAAGCAGAAAUGCAACAGCCAUACAAUCCUAAAAACAAAGCUUAUGAUUUAACUAAAACUUUUCUUCAGGGAAGCUUAUUCAGAUGUUAUCAUACUUCCCCCUUUUCUUUUCUUACUGCAGAAAGCUUGAGAGAAUGCCAGUUGGUACUGCUUGUCAUUAGAAUUUUUCUAGAUAACACUGUUGCUUCUGAAAAGUAAUAGACAUCAACCUGUGGAAUUCGUAUAAUAUUCAACAACUUGCAGAGCUCUUUGAAUGUAUAGGUAAUAACAAUGAAUUCAAAAAGCUAACUUUAUAUUGGCAUUACCUAAUUAACUCUCACAAAAGUCAUAUAUGCUUCAAAAAAACACUUCCUGCUUUGUUUCCCCCUGCCAGUAUUUAGUCAAUAAAAUCCUUUACUUUUUUCUUUUUUUCCUAAGAUAUUAAGCCAUAGAGCACAUGAUAAGUAAGACAAGCAUGCCCAUCAGCUUCUAUGGUACAUAACAGCAACGAAACAAGUCAUUGGCACUUUCAGACACUCAAAGUAUGAAAAUUGGGGUUUCAAUAUAAAAUAAAAUUCCAAGGUUGGUGGGUCAUUAUUACUUCUAUGUGAAAACCACCAAAAUAAGGGUCUAUUUGGCACUGACUCACAUUAUAUGACCCAGUAUGGAUUAUAUUGUGCUGAUUUGAAUGGAGUUAAUGGAUGCAGAGGGAUCUGCACUGAUUUCUUCAGCUAUAGGAUGUGGAGAUGAUCAAGGAGGAACGAAUGAAUAAGGGUGAUUUAAUGGUGUCUUCAGCUGCAUAGCCUAGCAGCAGUAUGGAGACUCUGCAGCACUGAUGCUAAAGAAAACCAGGAUGGAGCCUAAAACAUUUCACCAGAAGACUUCAAAUCACUGCAGCCCAAAAUGCCAAAAUGCAAGAGUAUGAAUGCAAAAAAAAAUAAAUAAGACACAAGCCUCCUGGAGCAGAAUAAGGAAGCUAUUUACUAUUAUGGGCAAGGACUGCAAGGUAGGGGGGAGGUAGAGGAAAGGAAAUGGGCUGUAUUACUUCGAGUUGGCAGAGACAUGAAAUACCAGGGUGCAGUUUACGUAUAAUAAUUGUUCAUACAGCAUUCUUCUGGCGUUUCUAGUGACUCAUUGUGUUCUUUUGUGACCUUUGAUGUACAGGAUAGGCUGCUAGAAGACAUAGGAAGCCACAACAAAAAUAUCAAACUUUAGGAUUUUUUUUUGUAGCUUGCUGAUUAUAGGUGAGAGAGAGAGAUCUGAGUAAUUUACUCUGAACCCGGGUGCCUUCUGUCAUCUGUCCUCCUUUAAAAAUUUGUGUAUUUGAAAACCACCUUAAUUUUGAAAAAGUUUUAUCAAAAAGUCAAUGAUACUGACCUACUGGUGAGUUUACACAUUUCUUUUUUCAGAGUGGUUAGAUUCUACUGUGUUAAUCCACAGAGAUAUGAACUGGACACCAUGAAGUUUAGUAGGCCCCAAAAUGGACUUAAUUAACUACUUGUUAUAACUCUUUUAAAAAUCUAUGCAAGUCAAGCCACUUCAGGAUAUAAAAGCUGAUUGAAAGAGUAACUUACAGAUGCUGACGAAUUCUUACCAGAGUACCUCUUUCAGUAAGUCACAAUAAGUCAAGAUUCAAGCUCACCAGCAAGGGAAAAGGAGGUAGAAUAAAAAUCCUAACCACAAUUCACUUCAUACACUUUGCCUUAUUUUCAAACAAUAAAAAUCAAUACCAAAAUAAAUCAACUCUCACUCCAGUUAUUAAUUAUUUGAAGCCUCUCCGGUUGUAAUGAGCCAGGAGAAGAGAGGCUACACCUUUAUCCUGUUUUAGCCCUUUUCACACCAUCCUCCUUUUCUUUAAUAACUCCGCCCAGAUUAUUCAGGAAGCUGAUAAACAGGAUUAUAGACAUUUUAACAUAAUUAUUAGCUUAUCUCACUGUUUGGAGAUUACCUGCAAUACCUUUGUAAAAAUGAAGCAAGCUAAACCUUUGUAUCCCCAGCUUGUGCUAUUUUACAUGAGUUCUUAGUUUCAGAUUGCUAUUUUUACAUAACACAGAAUACUCAUUUCAGAGUUACUGAUGUCCUGCUCCACAUCAGAGUAUACCUAGGUAUACUCAAGUCAUCUGGUAGUCUGAAAGUCCUUUUUGUUCCUUUCCCCACACACAGUGUAAAACAGGCUCAAUAAUCUGCAUCUGAAAAAGCAGAUGAUUUGGCAAACCCCUUCCCAUAGAUAUAUUUUUUUAAAAGAAAUAAGCCUCUCUUUCUUUGAGUAAACUUUUCUUUCCAACUGUUCUUUUUGUCAGCUUGCCAGUUUUACUUCUGGUAUUGUUCUGUGCAGAUUGCUGUAAGGAAAAUGAAAGAGAUGGGAAAGGUAUGGAACUGGGGGAAAGGGAAAAGGGUUCAGAGGGCAUGAAAAGCCUGGGGAGCCUAGCAUGGGAAAGGAGAUAGGCUUAGGAAACAUAGAAGAAAAUGGUGGAAUGAGAGAUAAAGCAAGAACAUAAAGGAUAAGGGAUUAGAGAGAUAAGGAGUUCAAGAAAUGAAAUAUGAAUAAAGGAAAACAAAAAUAAGGAUGAAAGGAAAUAAGUGACAGGAGUAAGAUGUUAAACAAUCAACUAAGAAAAUACUCUGUUAAUUUUAUUUUAGCAAAGGAAUAUUAUAAGAACUUUAUUAUUUUCUUCUCUUACUAGUUCAGAGAAUUUUUAUACAAGUGGGUAAUGUUACUUCCUGGAGGUAAGUAUAGGUCUCAGAAUUGUCUGUUAGUUUAUAAUUAAUGUAAUGAUUAUGUUGCAUCUGAAGAAAACAAUUGGAAUGAAGAAAAUAAUGUAACAACAUUUUAUAUAAUACUAAUAUCUUCAGUUCAAAACUCAAUUCUGCAGAAUUGCUCAGAAUGCUUGCCAUUUUACCCAUCAGUUUGGAAUUAGUAUCUGAAACAUAUAAGGACCUGUUAACAAACACAAAACUAGAGAUUAAUAAGAGAGCUGUGAGGUUUAGAGGUAUUUAAAAUCAACCUUGAUUCACAUUCCAAAAGUGCCCAUAAAAUAGAAGCAAAUUUUGUUCAUAAUUAUAAAUUGGCUAUAAAAAUAUUUCACAAACUUUUUCUGUCUCUGAAUAUUUGUGAACUUUUAUCAGAUUUACCAUGAAUAUUCAGUUUGUUACUGGUUUAUCUGGCCAGUUCACAAAAAAUCACAUCAUAUGGUGGAAGUUGCAUAAUAUUUCUUGUCUUUUCCUGACAGGCUUAGCCUGUCUCAGGAGGCAGAAAUUCAUCAGAAGUCACUUUCACUUACACUAAGUACAGACAUUCAAAAAGCCUGAGGUGGAAUAGAAGAUCUAAGUUACAUGGUUUUCUUUAAUGGGUGUAGGUAGGAUCAGUAGAGAACAGAACACACAUUUGCCCUUUGGAGGGGGGCAGGGGGCAUGUAUGUAAGAAACUACCAAGCAUCGGGGCCACCCCUGAUUGUCUAGCAGGCAUGGGCGAGCAUUCUCUCCUUCCCUGCUGCAUUGUCUGUCAUCCACAGGUAUCUGUCAACUGCAGGCAGGCUGAGUCCCUGCAUGAACCCUGUUAUGAGCACCCCAUGACGUACGUACACACCUGACACUGAGCCCAGGAGAACUCCCAUGAGCAGGAACAGCACCACAGAGCCCAACCAGACUGCCAGUCGGAGAAAACCAGGAUCCCUAGAGAUGGUCCAGUAUCCUUCAUCAAUAUCCAGUAUCGACUGGACAGAAAGCUUUUCAUUCUUGGGUGCUGCUGGGCAAAAACAAAACCACCAAGGACAUCCACAACCUUCAGUUUGCGGAUGAUUGUUGCAUGAUAGCUCACUCUGCACAGGAUGUGCAAGCAACACUAGAUAUCUUCAAUGCUUUGUAUAAGAGACUUGGCCUGUCCUUGAAUGUCGCCAAGAUGAAGGUUCUCCAGCACUCCCCAGACCAGCUGAAUAUCCCUUGCGCUAUCUACAUAGACAGGGAGACUCUGGAGUACUUGGAGGACUUUCCAUAUAUCAGCACCCACCUCUCUCAACAGGCUACCAUCGAUGAAAAAGUCCAGCAUCAUGUCAACUGCACCAGUGCUGCCUUCAUCAAGCUGUGACAACCUAUCUUUGAAAAUAGAGAUCUUGGAAAGUCGACAAAGGUCCUGGUUUAUAAGGCUGUUGUGCUGACCACCCUCCUCUACUUCAGUGAAGCCUGUAACAUCUACCAACACCACAUUAAGGCCUGUGUCAGAGCACCUUUGAGGGUGCUUGCCACUUGGGGGCUCCCACAGACUCCGGUGGGAGCCUGCUUUGGAGGAGCAGCAGGGGAAACCCCCUAGGUACCAUUUAAAGGGGGAAGGUGUGUGGCAGGGCACUGUUGGUGCCUGCCACUUUAAGACCAAAGCUAAGCAGCCAGCAGGUGCUUGAUUAAGGCAGCCAUUUUAGAUCUCUAGCUGCUUAUAUAAAGAGCUCAGUUCCCUGCUGGCUGGGAAGGCAGUAACAUUGCCUGGCUGUGAGGUUUCAUGUAUCAUCCUGUAGGUAAGGGAGGAGCUGUAGGGGAUGGAUUGAAGGCUCCUGGUCCUGGGCAUGACCUAAAAUGGCUUCCUGCCGGGAGUGGGUGGCCUGGUGGGCCUCUCAGUGGUAUGGGAGCCCCCAGGAAAUGCCAGACAAGUUAUCAGCCUGGUGAAAAGUGAGUAGGGGCACCUUAACCCUAGCCCUCACCUUUGGGUGGGUUGCGUGACACCGGAGACAGUAGGGGCGAGGCACAGCUGCGGCCACCUGAGCCCUGUGGGGGUGCAAGACCCUGAGAGGGAAAGCUGGGGCCAGGUAUGGCGGCGGCCACCUGAGCUCACUGGGGAGGAAAGCCCCGUGGCCCCAAGUGGAGGGGUCGGUAUGGCGCCCUAGUGAAGGGGGCCGAGAUCUGGAGCCCCGGGUGAGGGGGGUGGUGUGGAGUCCUGAGUGAAGGGGGCAGAGACAAGUAGCCCUAAGCGAGGGGGCACUGUGAAGCCCAAGUGAAGGGGGAAGAGAUGAGUAGCCCCAAGUGAGGGGGUGGUAUAGAGCCCCGAGGGAAGGGGGCAGAGGUCAGUAGCCCCGAGUGGAGGGGGUGGUGUGGAGCCCCAGGUGAGGGGGCGGUGUGGAGCCCCAAGUGAGGGGAGUAGGCCCAGGUAGGUCUUUGGACGCCUGAGGCUGAAGUUUGGGCCAGAGGCCGAGUAAAGGGGACUCAGUCCAAGAGAGAGAGGGGCAAGUCCUGACCCUGGUAAGUCCUCCGCUGCUGGGAGGCCGAGUGUGGGUCAAAAGUAAGAUCUUAAGUAGCACCACAACCUGCUGCUCCAGGGGGAGAGGGAGAGUCCCCUGUGAGACCCAGUCGUGGUGUGAGGUACCCCAGCUACCACAUCUAGGAAGAUGGACCUGAGAGAGAGUGUGGGGCUAGUGAGAGAGGCCAGAGGUAGAGUACCCCCUCAACUGGUCAAUGCUGGGGCCAGGACCAGGAAGGUCAAAAGGGCCAGGGGCCCACUGCAAGAGACGCUCGGAGCAGAGGGCCGGGGUCCCGCCUGGCCUUGGAGGUGAGGCCAGGGCCUGUGUGGCUGAAGGUUCCGGGGGGGACCACACCCAAGAGGGGAGAUAGCUACUGGGAGCUCGGCAGCCCAAAUGAUGGCAGGGUAGGCUGCCUGAGCAGAGGGAUCAAGGAGGGGGCCUGAUAGGAGGAUUCUGGAGCCCAGUGUGGGGCUGGUGAGACUAACAGUCGGAUGCCAUUUGCGAAGCAUGGGCUGUGGUGUAGGGGAGGGUCGGAGCCACACAUGGUGCCCCCUGGCAUCAGGGCAUAAAAUGGGUGGCCUCCCGCUUAAUUAACAUCCUAAUUAAUAAGAACAAGGUGUGGCAGGAGAGUCAGGUGGGAGGUGUGUCCAAAGGCAAGUGGGGAACCUAGCACUGUGGCUAGGCGGGGAGCUCCACUUCGCCACAAGGCCCUUGAGAGCUUUCACCAGUGGUGCUUGUGUCGAAUCCUGGGGAUCAAAUGGGAGGACUGCUGGGCCAUCACGAGUGUUCUCCAUGAAGCUGUGCCCACCAGCAACAAAGCCUUGCUCUUGAGAAACCAACUCUGAUGGAUGGGCCACUAAGUCCAGAUGUCCGAGAGCUGCCUCCCUCACCAGAUUCUCUUCUCCCAGCUCUCCGUUGGCCAACACUCAAAGGGCAGCCAAAGGAAACAGUACAAGAACCCGCUCAAGGUCGCUCUCAAGUAUGGAGGUAUCAACACCAAUGGCUGUGAGGAGCAAGCUGCUGACCAUUUGGCAUGGCACUACCUGGUCCACCAAGGCACGCACCACUUUGAGGCCCAACAACUCGAUGCCGAGGCAAAAUGCCGGUGGCAGAGAAAGGAGUAGACCAACCUGGAGCUGCGAAUCCCACUCCCCCAUGCAACAGUAUGCCCCCAUUGCCGAAGAACAUGUGCAUCCAAAAUGGAGUUCCUCAGUCACCUGGGGACCCAUCAAGCCUGACGGACGUCAUCCUCAACUUCGAGGGACUGCCACCACUGAUAAUACCUGUAACAUGGAGCAAAAAUACACAUUAUUUGGAGUAGUCAAUACAAUGGAUCAUUCUGUAGGUUAAAUACUGGUAUUAAAUGAACAAAUAUGAAUUUAGUUAUCAGUAUAUUGGGAACUCUAGCACUCUGCAGUGAGAGGAACCUUCAAUGUCAUAUUUUAGUCUCCCUUUAAUCCCAUUAUCUAGGAAGAGGUCUCAAUAGGUUUUUGCAUCAGUGUCUUCUGGAAGCAUCUCUUCUGAACUAAGGAAUUGGGUCAGGAUUAAAUGGGUGAUACCUGAUGUACAUUAUCUCAAUCUGUCCAGAGUUAUAAUGUGGUCUGGCACUGAAAUAUCUUUUCUACUGACUCCUUGCUCCUGGGUGCAUUCCUCUUUAGGGGUCAAGAGGAAGCCUGGGUGGGUGGAUGCAGUAACUUUCAUCAGAGGCAUGUAGCCUCCACAGUCUAUUGGAAUUAUGCAAAUCUCUGGAGGUUCUAGGAGUUCUGGCCCGAUCUCCCUGUUGUGUAAAUUUAAAGGCAUGAGCAUCAGGGAAUUCCCCAUCUCUUUUAUCCCAUUUGGGCAACCAAUGCAAGAGACAUUUCUUUGAUAGGAUUUCCACUCUGAGACUUUACCCACAUUGUUUUUCUCCAAUGCAAAGGAAAAUAAGGCCAUGUAAUGUUUGUGUCUACUAGAUAUCUUUUUCAUACAGGCUGGCAGAAACUUAGGACUCCUUUGUAAUUCCCUCAGUGUAACGCUCACUAUUGUAUUAUCAUUUACCUCACAGAAUACAUUAUAUCUCAGAACAAAGGAAA